rnacentral:rRNA from 1 species
GAUGAACGCUGGCGGUGUGCUUAACACAUGCAAGUCGAACGAAGCACUUUAUUUGAUUUCCUUCGGGACUGAUUAUUUUGUGACUGAGUGGCGGACGGGUGAGUAACGCGUGGGUAACCUGCCUUGUACAGGGGGAUAACAGUUGGAAACGGCUGCUAAUACCGCAUAAGCGCACAGCAUCGCAUGAUGCAGUGUGAAAAACUCCGGUGGUAUAAGAUGGACCCGCGUUGGAUUAGCUAGUUGGUGAGGUAACGGCCCACCAAGGCGACGAUCCAUAGCCGACCUGAGAGGGUGACCGGCCACAUUGGGACUGAGACACGGCCCAAACUCCUACGGGAGGCAGCAGUGGGGAAUAUUGCACAAUGGGCGAAAGCCUGAUGCAGCGACGCCGCGUGAGCGAAGAAGUAUUUCGGUAUGUAAAGCUCUAUCAGCAGGGAAGAUAAUGACGGUACCUGACGAAGAAGCACCGGCUAAAUACGUG